rnacentral:rRNA from 1 species
UACGAAGGGGGCUAGCGUUGCUCGGAAUCACUGGGCGUAAAGGGCGCGUAGGCGGCCAUUCAAGUCGGGGGUGAAAGCCUGUGGCUCAACCACAGAAUUGCCUUCGAUACUGUUUGGCUUGAGUAUGGUAGAGGUUGGUGGAACUGCGAGUGUAGAGGUGAAAUUCGUAGAUAUUCGCAAGAACACCGGUGGCGAAGGCGGCCAACUGGACCAUUACUGACGCUGAGGCGCGAAAGCGUGGGAGCAACAGG